rnacentral:lncRNA from 1 species
UGAUUACUGUUAAUAAAUUCUUCCUUCCUUUCUUUUUUUAGCACCAGGGAUUGAACCCAGGGCCUUGCAUAUGAUAAGCAAGCGAUCCACCACUGAACCACAUCCCUAGUCUUCAUAAAUAAUUUCUUAAACAUUAUUUUAAGGCACUAUCAAAUAUAGAGUCUUACUUACCAUACUGGGAAAGAUGAAAUUUAUCAUUGUGCCAUAAAUGCCCUGGAAAGCAAAGAAAAUAUUAUUAUUUAUUAUACCUCCAUCCACAGGGAUCCUAAGUGCCAAAUGUAAUGCAUCAGCCGCAAAACAAAAAUGAGGUACGACUGAAGCAGUACUGACUCACAUAUAGAACUUAAGGGGAAAGACCAAAAAGCAUCAUGGCCCCCUCUCUCUUACCACCAUCAGUUCAGAAAAGUGCAAGACGUUCAGUCAAAAUUUGCUUCCAAUUCAGAGGCACCAAUUUGUCUCCUGCUGGUGUGAAGCCGAAGACUGCCUUCUCUAGACUGAAUUAAUGUUUCCCCUGUUUACCGCACUAAAGAGGUAAAGAA